rnacentral:rRNA from 1 species
AUUGAGCGCUGGCGGAAUGCUGUACACAUGCAAGUCGAACGGCAGCACGGACUUCGGUCUGGUGGCGAGUGGCGAACGGGUGAGUAACAUAUCGGAACGUAUCCAAUAAUGGGGGAUAACGAGUCGAAAGAUUCGCUAAUACCGCAUACGCCCUACGGGGGAAAGCUGGGGACCUUCGGGCCUGGCGUUAAUGGAGCGGCCGAUAUCUGAUUAGCUAGUUGGUGAGGUAAAGGCUCACCAAGGCGACGAUCAGUAGCUGGUCUGAGAGGACGACCAGCCACACUGGAACUGAGACACGGUCCAGACUCCUACGGGAGGCAGCAGUGGGGAAUUUUGGACAAUCGGCGCAAGCCUGAUCCAGCCAUUCCGCGUGAGUGAAGAAGGCCUUCGGGUUGUAAAGCUCUUUCGCAAGGGAAGAAAACUUAGCCACUAACAUUGGUUGAGGUUGACGGUACCUUGAUAAGAAGCACCGGCUAACUACGUGCCAGCCGCCGCGGUAA